UACGUAGGGGGCAAGCGUUGUCCGGAUUCAUUGGGCGUAAAGAGCGUGUAGGCGGCCAGGUAGGUCGGUUGUGAAAACUGGAGGCUCAACCUUCAGAGGUCGACCGAAACCAUCUGGCUAGAGUCCGGGAGAGGAGAGUGGAAUUCCUGGUGUAGCGGUGAAAUGCGCAGAUAUCAGGAAGAACACCCGUGGCGAAAGCGGCUCUCUGGACCGAGACUGACACUGAGGCGCGAAAGCGUGGGGAGCAAACAGG
rnacentral:rRNA from 1 species